rnacentral:rRNA from 1 species
CAAUGCGGGCAACCGCGACGGGGGGACCCCCAGUGCCGUGGCAUCGCCACGGCUUUUCCGGAGUGUAAAAAGCUCCGGGAAUAAGGGCUGGGCAAGGCCGGUGGCAGCCGCCGCGGUAAUACCGGCGGCCCGAGUGGUGGCCGCUAUUAUUGGGCCUAAAGCGUCCGUAGCCGGGCCCGUAAGUCCCUGGCGAAAUCCCACGGCUCAACCGUGGGGCUUGCUGGGGAUACUGCGGGCCUUGGGACCGGGAGAGGCCGGGGGUACCCCUGGGGUAGGGGUGAAAUCCUAUAAUCCCAGGGGGACCGCCAGUGGCGAAGGCGCCCGGCUGGAACGGGUCCGACGGUGAGGGACGAAGGCCAGGGGAGCGAACCGGAUUAGAUACCCGGGUAGUCCUGGCUGUAAAGGAUGCGGGCUAGGUGUCGGACGAGCUUCGAGCUCGUCCGGUGCCGAAGGGAAGCCGUUAAGCCCGCCGCCUGGGGAGUACGGCCGCAAGGCUGAAACUUAAAGGAAUUGGCGGGGGAGCACUACAAGGGGUGGAGCGUGCGGUUUAAUUGGAUUCAACGCCGGGAACCUCACCGGGGGCGACGGCAGGAUGAAGGCCAGGCUGAAGGUCUUGCCGGACACGCCGAGAGGAGGUGCAUGGCCGCCGUCAGCUCGUACCGUGAGGCGUCCACUUAAGUGUGGUAACGAGCGAGACCCGCGCCCCCAGUUGCCAGUCCUCCCCGCUGGGGAGGAGGCACUCUGGGGGGACCGCCGGCGAUAAGCCGGAGGAAGGAGCGGGCGACGGUAGGUCAGUAUGCCCCGAAACCCCCGGGCUACACGCGCGCUACAAUGGGCGGGACAAUGGGAUCCGACCCCGAAAGGGGAAGGGAAUCCCCUAAACCCGCCCCCAGUUCGGAUCGCGGGCUGCAACUCGCCCGCGUGAAGCUGGAAUCCCUAGUACCCGCGUGUCAU